rnacentral:rRNA from 1 species
GACGAACGCUGGCGGCGUGCUUAACACAUGCAAGUCGAACGGAAAGGCCCUGCUUUUGUGGGGUGCUCGAGUGGCGAACGGGUGAGUAACACGUGAGUAACCUGCCCUUGACUUUGGGAUAACUUCAGGAAACUGGGGCUAAUACCGGAUAGGAGCUCCUGCUGCAUGGUGGGGGUUGGAAAGUUUCGGCGGUUGGGGAUGGACUCGCGGCUUAUCAGCUUGUUGGUGGGGUAGUGGCUUACCAAGGCUUUGACGGGUAGCCGGCCUGAGAGGGUGACCGGCCACAUUGGGACUACGAUACGGACCAGACUCGUACGGGACGCAGCAGUGGGGAAUAUUACACAAUGGGCGGAAGCCUGAUGCAGCAACGCCGCGUGCGGGAUGACGGCCUUCGGGUUGUAAACCGCUUUCGCCUGUGACGAAGCGUGAGUGACGGUAAUGGGUAAAGAAGCACCGGCUAACUACGUG